UUAUUGGGGGCUUAGCACUGAUUUUGGUUCUGACAAGCUGGCCACUCAGAGACAGCAGUAGCUAUGUCUGUCUCAGUAUGUGGUAGACCAUGCUGUUGGGCCCAUAUAUAUAUAGCCUCCAUGCCUGCCACUGGGGCUACUUCAUUCACGUACCCACUGUGUCAGUUCUGGGAUGACUAAAAUCAACUGGGUCAUCAUGAGUGAAGUCUUGAGCCACUGAGCCACUACCACCUUGUGCCAAAUACUAUCUGUGCCCUGCCUGCCAACCAGGAUGACAACCCUUCACCUGCCAGGUGGUGAGUGAGCCAGUCCCAAAUUCCUACUUUGUCACCUGUUUUCUCAGCCCAUUUCUCAACAUCAGUACCAUUGGUGUUGAC
rnacentral:lncRNA from 1 species